rnacentral:lncRNA from 1 species
CUCCUGGAUGACAUUUCUAGACACACCCUGGGUGAGAAGGGAACCCAUUUCAUUUAAGGGAAAGACCCAGUCCUGGAAGCAUUCAUCACCUGCUAACUGAAGAGCUCUUGGGCCCUGAAUAACCAGCAGCGACACCCAGGUACUACAUUGAGGGCCUUGGUGAGCCUCUGAGAAUUGCUGGCUUCAGGUGAGACUUGGCACAUUCCCACCUGUGCUGCAGGGCGAAGCUCCUUCUGCUUGCGAAAAGUGGAGGGAAAAGCAGAGGACCUUGUCUUGUCCUUUAGGUACCAGCAUCACCACAGAGGGGCAGAGCACCAGGUGGGCUCUCGGGGUCCCCAGUUCCAGAACUUGACUCUUGGAUGGCAUCUCUGGACCUGCCCUGGGCCAGAAUGGAGCCCCCUGCCUUGAAGGGUGAGUCCCAGGCCAGGCAGCGUUCACCACAAACUGACUGAAGAGCCCUCAGGAGAAAGACACAGGCCUGGCUGGCUUUGCCAACAGCAGAUGGCAGAGCC